CAUCGCGACGACGCUUCACCACCGCGUUGCCGUCGAUCCGGCGACUCGAACCUCGUCGUCACCAUACUAACUACGGUUCAUCUUCGCAACCAAGGAUAGCAACAAAUAAGCGGCGUGUUCUUCUGAGCGGAGUAACGGUGAGUUUGCACAAGGAGUAGUGAAGAGUGUGAUUCGAAGUUUCGUCAUCGCCGCAAUCGCGUUCAAGCAUCGUCCCUGCGUCAUCACCGAUUAGCAAAGAAAACCAGAAGAAGUAGCAAGAAGAUCAGAGGAAGAGGAAGCAGAGACCGAAUCGGAAAGGGGAAGAGAUCCAAUACUAUUCACGGUGUAAUUUCGAUCUGGUUAUUUUCUUGGCUUCCACGUUAUGUUUCUUGGCGUACAAAAGUCGAUUCACUCGCGACGUGGUUCCGAUCCCGCCUCCUUUGGAUUCUGCAUGCAUAAGGACGAAUGGAACGUGGAUGUAAAAUGCCGAUGAUUGGAGUGGCGGUGAUCAUGGAGGCUUCGUUCUUCGUUUUCCUGUUGUUCGCUUCGCACGCACACCAGACAGAUUGGAAGCGAAGAUGGAAGUUGCGAUGGACUUCGUAUUGUAUUACGGUUCGGAGAUCCGUUUCGCCAUGGAUGAACCGGUUUCGGCGGGUAUAACUGAGUCUGAUUUGGGAUUUAGGUCCAAACAAUCGUUCACUGUGCUAGGCCUAAUUUCACUUUAGUUAAUUAGGACUUAGGAUAUAGUUUAGGUAUAGUUUAGAAUUGUAAUUAGUUUUUAGGAUGAGUAGUAUGUUAAUUAGGAAUUCUAAGAAUUUUGGAAAUCGAUUUGUUUAGGAAAUUAGGUUUAUUAGAAAUAGUAG
rnacentral:lncRNA from 1 species